GUGCCAGCCGCCGCGGUAAUACGUAGGGUGCGAGCGUUGUCCGGAAUUACUGGGCGUAAAGAGUUCGUAGGCGGUUUGUUACGUCGUUUGUGAAAACUCACAGCUCAACUGUGAGCCUGCAGGCGAUACGGGCAGACUUGAGUACUGCAGGGGAGACUGGAAUUCCUGGUGUAGCGGUGAAAUGCGCAGAUAUCAGGAGGAACACCGGUGGCGAAGGCGGGUCUCUGGGCAGUAACUGACGCUGAGGAACGAAAGCGUGGGUAGCAAACAGGAUUAGAAACCCCCGUAGUCC
rnacentral:rRNA from 1 species